rnacentral:rRNA from 1 species
UACGUAGGGACCGAGCGUUGUCCGGAAUCAUUGGGCGUAAAGAGCGUGUAGGCGGCUUGGUAGGUCUCGUGUGAAAUCCCGCGGCUCAACCGCGGACCCGCACGGGAAACCCCCAAGCUCGAGUCCGGAAGAGGAGAGUGGAAUUCCUGGUGUAGCGGUGAAAUGCGCAGAUAUCAGGAAGAACACCCGUAGCGAAGGCGGCUCUCUGGGACGGUACUGACGCUGAGACGCGAAAGCGUGGGGAGCAAACAGG